rnacentral:hammerhead_ribozyme from 1 species
AAGCGAAACCGUCCCGACUUGCUGGGGCGGUCUGCCGGACGUGGUUGUCCGGUACUGAUGAGCAGCCACCC